rnacentral:rRNA from 1 species
CACCACCGCGGUCACACAAGGAACCCAAAUUAAUAGUAUACGGCGUAAAGAGAGGGACAACGCUAUCAUAACAACUAGGACCGAAAUGCAACUAAGCUGUCAUAAGCCUAAGAUGCGCCUAAGACCUACCUCAAAACGACCCUAGCACCUUCGACUAACUCAACCCCACGAAAGCCAAGGUACAAACUGGGAUUAGAUACCCCACUAUGCUUGGCCCUAAAUCCUGAUGCUUCCCUCACUAAAGCAUCCGCCUGAGAACUACGAGCACAAACGCUUAAAACUCUAAGGACUUGGCGGUGCCCCAAACCCACCUAGAGGAGCCUGUUCUAUAAUCGAUAAUCCACGUUACACCCGACCGCUCCUCGCCAGAGCAGCCUACAUACCGCCGUCGCCAGCCCACCUCUACUGAGAGUGCAACAGUGAGCACAACAGCCUAAAUCGCUAGCAAGACAGGUCGAGGUAUAGCCCACGGAGCGGAAGAAAUGGGCUACAUUUUCUAAAAUAGAAAACCCACGAAAAGGGACAUGAAACUCUCCCUGGAAGGCGGAUUUAGCAGUAAAGCGGGAUAAUAAAGCCCCCUUUAAGCUGGCUCUGAGGCACGUACAUACCGCCCGUCACCCUCCUCAUAAGCUACAAACCACUAAUAAAUAAUACCCCUCCUAGCUGAAGAUGAGGCAAGUCGUAACAAGGUAAGUGUACCGGGAGGUGCACUUAGCAUAU